rnacentral:rRNA from 1 species
UACGAAGGGUGCAAACGUUGCUCGGAGUUAUUGGGCGUAAAGCGCGUGUAGGCGGCCCGAUAAGUCCGCUGUGAAAGUCCAGGGCUCAACCCUGGGAUGCCGGUGGAUACUGUCGGGCUCGAGUCCGGAAGAGGCGAGUGGAAUUCCUGGUGUAGCGGUGAAAUGCGCAGAUAUCAGGAGGAACACCUAUUGCGAAGGCAGCUCGCUGGGACGUAACUGACGCUGAGACGCGAAAGCGUGGGGAGCAAACAGG